rnacentral:tRNA from 1 species
GGGCGGUUCGCAUAGCGGCAAUCGCAUUUGGCUGUAGACCAAACGCUCGCAAGAGCUACGGGGGUUCGAGUCCCUCACCGCCCA